UACGUAGGUGGCAAGCGUUGUCCGGAUUUACUGGGCGUAAAGAGCGCGCAGGCGGUCGGAUAAGUCGAGUGUGAAAGCCCCUGGCUCAACCAGGGAGGGUCAUUCGAUACUGUUCGACUCGAAGGCAGGAGAGGGAAGUGGAAUUCCGGGUGUAGUGGUGAAAUGCGUAGAUAUCCGGAGGAACACCAGUGGCGAAGGCGACUUUCUGGCCUGUUCUUGACGCUGAGGCGCGAAAGCCAGGGGAGCAAACGGG
rnacentral:rRNA from 1 species